CCAUAAGACUGAAGAGAUAAAGCAGUGGAUGUUCUAAACGACUGAAGUGGAGGUCUGGGUCAUUACCAAGUCUUGCCGGUCCAUCAGCAAGAACUACCCAACACCAACAAGCCACCACCACAUCAAGUGUGUACACGUUCAGAGAUAUGGGUCAUGGAUUCUGCCUGCCAGACAGACCGCAUUGCCACCCAGACUACAGCCACACCAGUUAUCCUUGAAGACAUUGCCGCCCCAGUCAUGGAGUAAAUGCUAUCCACAAUGGAAAUACAAACCAACUACCGGCCCUACGGCUACCUGCAGGAGGUCUACCUUUCUUCAAAAUCGCAAGACCAAGAAGGGAUAGUGCAUCAACCAUCAAAAGCUUAUGGCAACCUUUGUAUUGGUUAUGUUCAUGUCCUGGUGGACCUCAUUCUGGACAAGGUCUUUGGGAACCCUGCGACACACUACGGCAAUGUUGGCGUUGGUGCCGUUCACAGACGAG